AGAGUUUGAUCCUGGCUCAGGACGAACGCUGGCGGCGUGCCUAACACAUGCAAGUCGAACGGAGAAUUUCAAUAAGCUUGCUUAGAGAAAUUCUUAGUGGCGGACGGGUGAGUAACGCGUGGGUAACCUACCCAUAAAGCCGGGACAACCCUUGGAAACGAGGGCUAAUACCGGAUAAUCUUAGAACUUGGCAUCAAGAUUUAAGGAAAGGUGGCCUCUGAAGAUGCUACCGAUUAUGGAUGGACCCGCGUCUGAUUAGCUAGUUGGUGGGGUAAAGGCCUACCAAGGCGACGAUCAGUAGCCGGCCUGAGAGGGUGAACGGCCACACUGGGAGUGAGACACGGCCCAGACUCCUACGGGAGGCAGCAGUGGGUUUUCUUCCGCUAUG
rnacentral:rRNA from 1 species